CCUACGGGAGGCAGCAGUGGGGAAUUUUGGACAAUGGGCGCAAGCCUGAUCCAGCAAUGCCGCGUGCAGGAUGAAGGCCUUCGGGUUGUAAACUGCUUUUGUACGGAGCGAAAAGGCUUCUCCUAAUACGAGGGGCUCAUGACGGUACCGUAAGAAUAAGCACCGGCUAACUACGUGCCAGCAGCCGCGGUAAU
rnacentral:rRNA from 1 species